rnacentral:lncRNA from 1 species
CUUCCUCUCGAAGGAGGAGCGGCCCCUUCAAAAACGAGCCGUGCGCCUGGGCUGCACCCCCACACCGCUCUGCUGCUCUGCCGUCCCCCGGGCGCCCCGAGCCCCAGGUGCCCGACCCGCACCGCACAGUCCCCCCUUGUGAGAGGGCCAGGAUGGGCAGGCAUGUUACUGAUGCAAGCAGUCAGAGAGAGCAGAGACCAGCAAAAGCAGAGCGGAGCUGAGGGUGGAGGCCAGAGCUCAAAGGAUGCCACCUCAGCAAAGACCUGUUCGACGGCACUUCGGAGAGCUGCAGUGCAGCACUGCGUGUAUUUGACAAGCUGAGUUUGACACUCAGUGUGGCAGAGUGUCAGUUUGUCAAAUACCCCAAGUGAGGCAUUUGCUUAGCAACACAGCGCGACACCAAGAAGACUGACCCCUUCCUCUGACUCGGGUGGGAAAUUUCCUGUCCGUAUUCUUCCCUUCGCCAAAAACCCAAAGAGGUACUGAACAAACCAUCUCGUUACUGAAUGUUUGACUCUGACUCCCGUGCUGUCAGGUUUCCCUUCCACCCCAGUUUUGGAAAUGCCUAUUGGGGUGCUCAUCUUAUUGGCAAAUCUCUAUAAAAGUUGUGCUGGCACAAUUCCACUGAGAUAGGAAAGCAGAGAAUUUGGCCCGGGUUCCUUAUUCUCUGCAGCCAAAAACAGAGCUGUUCUCUUUCGCAACAUUAACUAGCAGGCUGUUAAUUAAGCUCCUGUUCAGUUAAAGGUUAUGGCUAUUAUGGCUACUACAAUCAUAGCAUUAUGGGUAGUAGCAGCAUUAUCUAUAACAUAGAAUUUUUUCAUUGGACUUAAAGGAAUCUUCUUUUAAUUGAAGUGAAAACUAAUAACGCUGCCGUUUCACUUCCCUCUAUCCCAUUGGCCAGUGCAAAGUGGUGGUUUGCUCAAUCCAUUUUUAAAUUAAGCCAAAUAGUCUAUCACUUCUCCUUGAAGCCCUUUUUGUUUAGAAAAGACUCGUUGGUUUUGGCUGGUUAUUCCUAGUCAGCACUUGCUGCAAGGUUGCCUAUUGCUUUUGCUACAUUUCUGCUAUUUUAUUAAAAUAAUUCCCUCUAAAUCAUCCCAGCUGAAGAUCUAAUGAUUGGUUAACAUUUUUAAUGACUGAGUUGUGGCAUUUCAUAUCCAAAGCUUGAGAUAUCUCAGGGUGGAAGAAUGUCACAGGGUGAAUUCCGAGCCCCAUUUGACAAUUUGAACUCUCUGAAGAUGUUUAAAAUUGAAAACUCAGAAACCAAAAGAAAAUCCCAAGAUACUACUGACUUGUUUCAGGGCAGUACCACCAGCAAAUUUUGCAACAUUUGAGAAUAUUGAUAAACUUUAAUACUAUGUUUUUGUUUUUUUUCUUGCCACUAUUUCUUGCCAAAUAUUUUGAAGAAGUUGGGAUUUGUACAAACCUGUGACCAAUGAAUAUAUAGCAUUGUCUAAGCAAAUUGUGUUCUGCUUUCUGUCUAAGCCCUAUCAGCAGGGCUUAUUGUGCACUUCUGGACAAACACGGUCCUACUCACUAUGACUCACACUCCCGUGGUCUCUCUCCAGCACCUACUCAUGACUCAGAGACAUCACCCUGAUCCGUAUCGCUGAGGUCGGCUUCAGAAGAGAACGAAGUAUUACUUCAGGGGUCAUUUUGUCCCCAGUGGAUCCUUAAUGUAGUGGGCGGAUGUGUCAACCCAAACUCUUUCUGCCAUCACAGUCCCCAUGGUUUCAGCAGACAAACUCUUGCACCACAGCUAGCUGAGUGUUCAUUUUAAGCUCUUCAGCACUGUUUUCUUACAGUUUCAUAGUUUUUACCUUUGCUGGUGUUUGCCCUUCUCCUUUUUUGCUAACUUUUCUCUAGGUAGCCCCCAAUUCCUUCUAGAUUGGUGGGGGGAAGGGGAAGAAAUUUAAUUCCAUCCUCUCCUGCAAGAACAAACAUCAACUUAUAGUGGGACAAAUUUCGCUGUCUGUAACUUCCUCUCCUUUCUCCGGGUUGAGAACAGCAGUUUCAGAAUGGCUCUAAAAGCUAGGGAAACCUGACAGUUUAAAAGCCAACACAUACCCUCAAACGUAGAAACCUUGCAGUUCCACCCUGCUUUGAAGCAAGGGGAGUUGCAAGUCUCAUGACACUGUACUGGCCACUACAAAAUAGUGUUUAUCUGGAGGCGGUGUAGUUUCAGAGCAGAAGCUGAGGUUUCCCUUUCUGUGCUGGUGCAGAGCUGGUGCUUUGGGUGAGUCACAUCAACGGGUGAGUGACCGGCACAAGGAAAGGAGAAGUUCUCUUGCUUAAUGGAGACACAACACAGCAAAGCCCUCUGUGACUUUCAGAAGAAAAAUGUUCUGAUCAGAAAAAGCUUUUACUACCAAACAUGCCAAAAAUAUAAAUAAAAAAAUAAUUGCAGACUUGCUGCA